UCCAUUCAACGAGGGGAAAAAACGACGCUCGCGCAUCCGAAACAAAGGAUACACUUCCUACGUGUUUGCCCCGAUUGGCAAACAAACGAGCACAAGAUCGGCCGAUCCGAUCGCUACGAGCUGCGGCCGGGUGUCCAACUUUCACUGACAACUCGUUAGGUCUGCCGCCAUGGUUUCGAAUCAUUCACAGUCAUUGCGCGACGUCGGUAGACUGCGGUAGCGACGCUCGAACACCUCCGUCGUUCGUCGUCAAACGCAUUCUUUUCAAUUCGCUGUACUUGACCCAUUCGAUCGUGUUACUUAACCGGAAUAAUUAUUUCCACUCGUCCGCGAUCCGCGUUGUUUCUAAUUAAAAAAAUUAGAAAGCUUCAUUAUCGUUACAGUUUCAGAGUGUCGAUGGUUUCACUUCUUCACGAGAGUUGUAUUUGUAAUUUGCGUUUAAGGAAAUUGGAUUUUUUUACGUGUUAACAGAAUUCGAAGGAAUUUGGAAGGGAAUUUGGAGGAAUUUUUUUUUUUUCUUUUUCGUACGAUGGAAAUAUAGUUUUGCUUUGGAGUUGUCGAGUAUCGCGACGAUUUGAACGUAUCGAAGAAAGUGGAAGUGAAUAGAAAGCGAAAGUUCUGCUGUAACAUCCUACAGUCUGAAAGUCGACGAUCUCUGGACACGGGCGUGCGAUGCGUCGUCCAUGUUACUCACAGACACCAAUUAAACUCAAACUGAUUGAUCACGCCUUCUUUCGUUCCACAAAACGAUAUCUCCAGUUUCACAAUUCCAAGGCUUCGUUAUCCUUUCUCCUCGAAUAAUCGAAUCCAAUCGAUUCCUUUUUCAAAACAAUCUUUUCAACUUGUAACGAGAAACCGCAUCAUCGCAUCAUAAAUUCCAAUAAAACGCUCGAUCGCUUUCUCGAUCAGAAUCAACAUUCACGACGCGCUACGCUCACGCGAUCGAAUCGAAAUAAUAUAUAUAUAAAAAA